UGGCCCUCACCACGUCUGUCUCCGAUUGGCUGCAGAAAGAGACCCGAGCGCCCCGGGACCCUAAGGUGGCCGACUGGGAGCCCCAGGCUGGCGCCUGUGAAGCUAGGGGCGCUAGGGGACCUGGCGGCUCUAUCGCACUGGGGACGGUGUGGCGCCAGAGUCUCCAAGGUCAAACCGCUGAUGGAUGCCGUUACUAGCCGCGCUCCGGCGCGCGCCCCAAGUCCCCGGGCUGUCUUCCCGCGGGAUCUUGUGGCGCGCGGGAGGCGGAGCCGGCCGGCCCGGGCAUCCCCUGGCACAACCUGCGUGUCUGUGUGGGGAACUAUUGCGACACGCAGGCCGGGCCCGACCGGCCGCCGGGCUGGACCGCGGCAGCCCGUUAGACGCCGGUCGGGUCUGGAGGGCCGGGUCCGCGGAAGGAUUCCGGAGGACCCGCAGCUCCCUCGGGCAGGACCCGGCGCCGGGCCCCGCAGCCGUUGUCGCUGAGUAAACCGCGCGCUGAUUGAAUGGAUGAGUGCUCCGCGGCCCGGGCUGUGGCCGGGCCCUGGGCCAGGCUGAGGGCUGGGGCGGGAAGGGAGAUGUCGAAAUGGGGAGGGAUGAUUCCGAGAGGACAAGUGCGGAGCUCGACUGGCGGCAAGGGGAAAGUCUGGCGACCAUGGGCAGGCUCGGACGCACUCCGGUCCGGAGUGCGAAACUUCAGCGUCCGGUCCCUGAGCCGGCGCUGCAGCGAGGGCCCAGACUGAAAAGACCGCCCCUCCCUGCCCGCGGGCGGGCCAGAGUCUUAGGAGCAGCGCCCGCUGGCUGUCGGACAAUGCCCGAGAGUCCCAGCUGCUGGACGUUGCCCCGGGGCCAGGCUGCGGCCUCUGAGAACCCCGCGCUUUCUCUACACCCGCGCGGCCGGGCUUCCGAGCGAGUUUGCGCACGCCUGCAUGCCCGCUCUCUGCAGCUCGGUCUUUGCCACCUAUUUGACUGAUGAUGCAAUUGUGAACUCUCAUCUGUUGACCGCGCUUCCUUAAAUAGGGAAGAGGUUUUUCUUUUUCUCUGAACUUUUGCCUUUCCCCAGGCCUCCAGUGUUUUGUUUCUUUUUGCUUGUUAACCUUGCAUGUCCCCCACCCCUCUUUUAAAUCACCUAUUCUCUACUUCAUCAGUAGCCAUUAUUAACCUUUGGGUCAUGACCUUUGGAAGCUAAUGAAACUACAGAUCCUGUUAUCCCACCUCUCUUCCCGCGUACACACAAAAUUUUGCAUAUAACUUUUGAGUUGCAAAGUCCCUGCAGGUAACUGGUGGAGUCCCAUUCAGCAUGUUCAAUGUUCCCUCUUGUCCAUUUGUCACCCUUGAGAAAUGAAUAGAUCUCACAAGAAACCCGCUUAGUCCUGCUGGAGUACUAAUUCCUUUUCUCCCAGUUGUCUCCAAUAAUGACUUUUGCCUUCUCUCUUUAAGCCCUACUUAAAAGAUUUAUUUAUUUAUUUGAAGGAGUUUGACACCGAGAGAUAAGGAGGGAGGGGAGAGGUCUUCCAUCUGUUGGUUCACUCCCAAUUGUCUGCAAUUACUGGAGCUGCACCAAUCCAAAGCCAGGAUCUUCUUCUGGGUCUCCCGCAUGGGUGCAGGGGCCCAAGGACUUGGGCCAUCUUCUAUUGCCUUCCCAGGCUGCAGCAGAGAGCUGGAUUGGAAGUGGAGCAUCCAGGACUCAAACCAGCACCCAUAUGGGAUACUGGCACUGUAGGCAGCAUCUUUACCCACUAUGCCACAGUGCGGGCCCCAUUAACUCUGAUUCUGGUAGGGCAUAUGGGCAUCGCAGAGAUUUAGCUGCUCCAAACAUCUGCCCUCCUUUUUUCCUUCUCAUUCAGUGGUCACAGAUGGCGUAUCCAAAUCCAGUGAUCUUUUUCUUAUUCCCCCUUUUCUUGACUGAGAGAUAGUGCUUGCUUCCCUUCGAACCAUCCCUUCACUGAAACUUCUUGCUAGCUUUAGAAAUCACUGUUUCAUUCUGUCUUUUAGAAUUCUCAAACUCAGCACUUCUGUAGCCAUUGAGGUGAAACAUUCAUCAAGGUUUAAUGCUUCUUGUUUGUUUCUAAUGCAAGAACUUUGCCAAUUCAAAACUGACUUCCUAUCAGAGCCCUAUCACUAGUUCCCUUGUGAAAUACUUUUUAACAGAUGUUUUCAUACAACAUCCCUUUGGUAAAUACUGAGUAUCAGUUUGUGCCUGGCACUGCACGUGAAGCCGGGGAUACAGGACAGAGUCAGUGCUCUCAUGGUGCCUACUUUUUAAUGGGGAAGGGGACAGGGGACAGAAAAACAAAAAUAUUAGAUAGUUUGGUUAGCAGAGUUGGGUGGGGUCCUUCAUACAAGGAAGAAUUCAGAUGUGAGACAGAGAAGAGUGGUAAGCAAGGUAGAAGGAUUUUAUGGAGUAGGACACCUAUCAGAACAGAUGGGACAGAAUCAGAGAGAGUGCCCAGUCACUCAGACUGGGGGAAAGCAAGGUUCAAUGGAGAGAAUGCACCCAGCAGGCCAGGCAGGUGGCUCAGCAGAGAGCUGAGUGCUGAGAGCACAGUCUGUAUUCAGAUGGGGUUUAUAAGGGGAAGGGGUCCAGUGCUUCCCUCCCGCUUCUUCAUUCUCCUCCAGGACAAAGGGUUUGCUGAGUGUGAAUUAGGUGAAAUUCUUCCCAAGGUUUCACAACUCAGUGCUGUCAGACUGGGGAGCCCCCUGGCUGGGCAGAGGAGCCUCCCCUACUGAACUACCUUGGAGGAAGGAUGUAAAGGUUUUAUUGCUCCAUGUUAUCUGGCCAGGUGACCCGCUUGGUGCUGAGGAGAGAGGAUGCUCCCUUGUGAGACCACCUGUAAGUUAUCAGGGUCUGGGAAGGACUUUGGAGUGUAAAGUCCUGGGCUGCUUCCAAGCUUCUGCAGAGGCUUUGUUUUCCUCAGGCCCCUCACACACACAGGCCAAUAUCUAACUUCCUACCUCUCAGUUCUAGGUGCUAUGCGGUCAAUGGAACUAGAGCACUGUGCUGAAGUGUGACUACUGAGAGGCUACAUUUGGACGGCCAGAGGACAUGGUGCAUUCGGAAUGACUGGCAGGAACCAGUCAUGACAGACGUGGAGAAGAGCAUUCCAGGAGAAGAAACAGUAGAUGCAACAAUCCUGAGAAUAAGGUUGGUGCGUGAACCAGUGAGAAGGCCAGCGUGGCCCGAGCAUGAUGAGUGUGGGGGAAGGUGAUACCAGAUGAGGUUGGAAAGAAAAGCAGGCGUGAUUUAUUUAUUUACUUGAAAGAGUUACAAGGCAAAGAGAGAGAGAGCGCGCGUGCGAGAGAGAGGUCUUCCAUCUGCUGGUUCACUCCCCAGAUGACUGCAGUGCCUGGGGCUGGGCCAGCUGAAGCCAGGAGCCAGGAGCUUCAUCUGGGUCUCCCUUGUGGGAGCAGGAGCCCGAGGACUUGGCCAUCUUCCUCUGCUUUCUCAGGUGCACUAGUGGGGAGCUGGAUCAGAAGGAGAGCGCCAGACUCAAACAGACACCCACAGGAGAGUUGCUGCAGGCAGCGGCUUUACCUGCUACACCAUUGCAUCCAAUGCUUAACUCUUUCAAAUAGUUACAGAGAGAGGAGAGACACAGGAGAAAUCUCACAUCUGCUGAUUCACUUCCCAGAUGGCUACAGUUGCCCAGACUAGGUCUGGUUGAAGCCAGGAGCCAGGAACUUGAUACGGGUCUCUCAAGUGAGUGCAGGUGCCCAAACACUUCGGCCAUCUUCCACUUCUUUUAUUAGGCCAGUAGCAGGGAGUUGGGACAGAAGUGGAGCAGCCAGGACUCAAACGAGCACCCAUAUGGGAUGUAGGCACUGCAGGUGGCGGCUUUACCCACUAUGCCGUAGCUGGAUUUAAAUCCUAAGCAACACAUGCUCUUCCCUAGAAUGUAUUUCUUCCUUUGUUCUUUUCAAAAUUCUCAUUUUUGAAGGUCCAAAAUUGGUCCCACUUUCACCUCUAGCUUACAUUACCCUGUUUUCCUGAACUGCUAUCACACAUGGCUUGAGGUAUCAGUGUGGUAUUGAAUGAUAUUGAGGAGUGGGUGUUUGGCACAGUAGUUAAGUCGUAGCUCGGGAUACCUGCAUAUUGGAGUGCCUAGUUCAAGUCCUGGCUACCUGAUUUCCAAUCCACCUUUCUGCUAGUUUGCACUCAAGGGAGCAGUAGGAUGCUGGAUCAAAUACUUGUAUCCCUGACUCCCAUGUGGGAGACCCAGAUUGAGUUCUGGGCUCCUGGCUUUGGCCUGGCCCAACCCUGGCUGUUAGGAGCAUUUAGGGAGAGAACCAGCAGAUGGAAAAUCUGUUUCUGUCUGUCUUUCUGUAUGUGUCUCCCUCCUACUAAUAAAAUGAAAAUAAAGAAUUUUAAUGAGAUUGAUUCCAGCAGCUGUACUUAAAAAUAAGACUGAUUUCUUCCUAGCCACUUAGAGAAAUUGAUUCCUAAAGGAGAAUGAGUAGACCAUGAGUGCAGUAGGAAUUCCUGGGGCAAUCAAUGAGGAUUGAAGGGCUUAGGAGAUAGCAUUAUGUGUUUCGGCAGUUUUCUUUUUCUUUUCUUUUCUUUUUUUUUUUUUUUUUUUUUUACAGGCAGAGUGGACAGUGAGAGAGAGAGACAGAGAGAAAGGUCUUCCUUUGCCGUUGGUUCACCCUCCAAUGGCCGCCACGGCCAGCGCACCGUGCUGGUCCGAAGGCAGGAGCCAGGUGCUUCUCCUGGUCUCCCAUGGGGUGCAGGGCCCAAGCACCUGGGCCAUCCUCACUGCACUCCUGGGCCACAGUAGAAGGCUGGCCUGGAAGAGGGGCAACCAGGACAGAAUCCGGUGCCCCGACCGGGACUAGAACCCAGUGUGCCGGCGCCGCAAGGCAGAGGAUUAGCCUAUUGAGCCGUGGCGAGGGCCUUUUUUUUUUUUUUUUUUAAUAAAGAUUUAUUUAUUUAUUUGAAAGACAGAGUUACACAGAAAGAGGAGAGGCAGAGAGAGAGAGAGAGUGGUCUUCCAUCCAAUGAUUCAUUCCCCAAUUGGCCUCAACGGCCGGAGCUGCACCCAUCCGAAGCCAGGAGCUUCUUCCAGGUCUCCCACACAGGUGCAGGGGCCCAAGGACUUGGGCCAUCUUCUACUGCUUUCCCAGGCCAUAGCAGAGAGCUGAAUGGGAAGUGGAGCAGCUGGGUCUUGAACCCAUAUGGGAUGCCAGCGCUUCAGGCCAGGGCAUUAACCCGUUGCACCACGGCGCUGGCCCCUCGGCAGUUUUCAAACUGGAUUGUGUGUACAGAAAGACUUUUCAAGGGACAUGUGGAGAACAAAGCUUCAACAAAUCAAUUUGCUACUCCACGUUUGCAUGUAUUCUUUUAUAUAACUCAUUUCCUGAAAAAGCAGUCGAGACGGUUCAUUCCUUCCCCCCCCUGCCCAGGCUGUCCUCCCACCUUACAAAAAAGGUAUGAUGUCACCCAUCCUCCAUCUCACUCUGGCUGAUUCCCCAGGUACAUAACAAUCUCCAGGUUGUUAGACAAGUCUGGUGUUGACAAAGCCUCAGUCAGUCAGAGUGGAACCAGAGACUUCAUAUCUUUUCCUGACUUAACUCUAUUUCUGUUAAGGGUAAAACAAGGCUUUAAAGAAUGCAUGUUUUGGUCCUUGUGGGAUAUUACAUGUAUGUAUAACUGUACAGUGGAAGAGUGGGGUUUUAGUUAACUACAUCAGCCAUUCCAACCCCUGUCUGUUGUCAAAGAAUAUCUUGCUUCCGAGGGGGUUACCCAGACAGCAGAGCCAAGAAAGCAUAAUUACUUGUUAAAGAUGGUAAAGCCUUAUAUCAUUCAGGUGGCACACACGAGGCAAGGUCUGUGCUUUAUCCAUCUUGGGACUCAAAUAUUCAAGAUUCAUCAUUUUUAGUUUCAUGCUGGGAAGUAAUAAUGUGGAACACAAUGAAGUUUUCCCUCUCAUCAGAAACAAAGAGGGGUGGGCAUUUGGCACAGUUGUUAAACUACUGCUUAGGACUUCUGCAUCCCAUAUCAGAGUCCCUGCGUUCAAGUCCUGGCUCCACUUCUGAAACAGCUUCCUGCUAAUGUGUACCGUGGGAGGUAAUGGAUAACGGCUCAAGUACUUGGGUCCCUGCUACCCACGUUGGAGACCCAGAUUGAGUUUCUAGCUCUCGGUUUCAGCCUGACCCAGCCCUGGCUUUGUAGGCAUUUGGGGAGUGAACCAGUGGGUGGAAAAAAUCUCUGUGUCUAUCUGUUUCUCUCUCUGACUCUUUCAAAUAAAAUGAAAAUAAGUCUAAAUAAAACCCUUUCCUUUACAAAUAAAAAAGAAUCAAGAAAGUGCAGAGUGAUAGGCUAUUUCUCAUUUACUCAUAUCUCAACUUGGGUCUCAAGUUUAUAUAUUUUGCAUUACUUCUAGAAUUAUAGAGAAAACAUGUGUUUACAUGUUUCACAGAUCAACACCAUUCCUUUAAGUAAAAGGAAACAAUGUCAAAGGUAAAUUUAUAUUUUAUAUUUUCUUGAAUAUUCAGGCUUGCAGUAAAGAUAUUUUCAUUUUCCCUCAUCGAAAGAUUAUCAGUUAUAUCACUUCAUACUCACUAGAAUAUUUAUAAUCAACAAACAAAACAAUUGUUGAAAGGUAACAAACAUUGAGAAUGUCAGGAAAUUGCUGGUAGGAAUGCAAAAAUCAUUCAUCCAUUGUGGAAAAGUUUGGUGGUGCCUCAAAAAGUUACACAUAGAAUCACCAUAUGACACAGCAGUUUCACUCGUAGGUAGACAUCCAGAAGAACUGAAAAUAGGUAUUCUGUACAUGUACAUGCAUGUUCAUAACAGCACUUUUCACAGCAGACAAAAAUGAAAACAGCCCAAGUGUCCAUCACAUAAGAAUGGAUAAAUUGUGUGUGUGUAUGUGUGUGUAUAUGAAAUGAAUAUUAUUUAGCCACAGAAAGGAAUGAAGUAGUGAUACAUGUUAUAAUGUGAAUGAACCUUGAAAACCUCAAGUGAAGGCAGCCAAAUUCAUACAGUUACAUGUGACUCUGCUUAUGUGAAAUAUCUGGUAUAGGUAUUAUCUAUAGACCCAGAAUGCAUAUUGGUGGUCCAGAGAUAAUAUGGACUGAGGAGUGGGAAUAACUGCUUAAUGAGUAUGGGAUUUCCUUUUGUAGAGAUGAAAUGUGUUGGAAGUUGGUAGCAGUAGUGGUUGCACAGCAUUAUGAAUGUACUCAGUGCCACUGACAUGUCCAAUUUAAGCUGGUUAUAUUAUGCGAAUUUCACCUCAAUUAAAAAAUGGAAAGAUUGACUAGUACCCAGAGAUGAGCUGAAUAUCCUUUCAAAUGCCUCUGUAACUCAAAGAACAGCUCUAAGCCAGUCAUAAUAUCACUCCUGGGUUGCCUUGCAUCAGUCUUCAAGAAUGAUCUACAAGGUGAUCGCGAAGACUUCUUUUUGAUUGAUGAAAAUGUUUAAGAAGUAUAUUGUGGUGAUGUUUGUACAACCCUUGUCUAUAUCAAAGCCCAUUGAGUUAGGUGAAUUUUAUGAUAUGUGAAUUACAUUUCAAUAAAGCUUUUUUUAAGUGAAGAUCUAA